UGGGUUCAGAGCCUGAUCUAUCUCCGGUCGUGUCGGAUUACCAUCCCAUCGGACUAUGAUAGUAUCUGAGUUAGUG